AAGAUCAGAGGAUGUUGAGUGAAUCACAGGCUAAUCAUUAAUUGUACCUGCGAGGAUUGUUAUAUGGGUUCCAUACAAUGUACAUCAUGCAUCCAUGUCAUUUUCGGGCAAUUUGGUUGUAAGAAACCCAUAUUUCUGAUAU